UACGUAGGGUGCGAGCGUUAAUCGGAAUUACUGGGCGUAAAGAGUGCGUAGGCGGUUCUCCAAGUCCGUUGUGAAAGCCCCGGGCUCAACCUGGGAAUGGCAGUGGAAACUAGGGGACUUGAAUCUGGCAGAGGGGGGUGGAAUGCCGCGUGUAGCAGUGAAAUGCGUAGAGAUGCGGCGGAACACCGAUGGCGAAGGCAGCCCCCUGGGCUGAGAUUGACGCUCAGGCACGAAAGCGUGGGGAGCAAACAGGAUUAGAUACCCUGGUAGUCCACGCCCUAAACGAUGGCAACUAGGUGUUGGGGAAGCGAUUUCCUGGUACCGCAGCUAACGCGUGAAGUUGCCCGCCUGGGGAGUACGGUCGCAAGAUUAAAACUCAAAG
rnacentral:rRNA from 1 species